AUACAUCAAAUGAAAAACUGAUGGGCCACACAAUGUGUCAAUAAAGGGUAAAACUCCACUGUGGUUUAUCCGUAAUAAGUUUACACUCUAUUGGCACAUCGUGCAGCGUGCCAGGUCUUCAUUUGAGCUUUUGGAAAAAAGACACACGGUAAAUGAAAAAAACAUCUGUUUAGGUAAAAGAAGAAAACACCAAAGGAAGGAAACAACAGCUGUUGGGUAAGAGACAGUAAAUGAGACAACAUCAGAUGCAGCAGGAGGAGACAUGUCACCGUCAAGAGGAAAUGACAUUCACUGGAAAUGUAACAGAGAGCAGCAGAGAGUCAGACACAUAUUGACUGAGUAUUCCAAAAGGAACAUAGUAAACCUGACCCCAGAAGGUUCUAAUAUAGAGACAGUUUGUAGAUUGAUAAUUUUCUAAAAGUAAUUCUUAGAACUGAAUAAAGGGACAUUUAUCUUCUCUUUUUAGUGAGGUGUUGAGAUGAAGAGACUGUUCCAUGUGAUCUUCCUCCUGAAGGUUUUUUCAUGUCUGUGCCAGGGUGUGGUGGUAACUCAAGAAAAAAGUCUUCAACUGGUCACAGUUGGAGAACCGGCAAAUAUUCACUGUAGACAUGAUGAUAAAACGGGUGCUUAUUCUAUGCUCUGGUACCAACAGAAACCAGGAGAUGGUCUAGCACUCAUGGGAAUAUCAGCAAGGGAGCGUGAUUCUACCAUGGAGGAGAACUUCAAGGGCAACUGGGAUAUUGAAAGACCAAAUCUGGAGGAGUCCAUUCUGAAGCGGAAUGGGACAGUGAGCAUCCAAGACUCUGCCGUGUAUUUCUGUGCAUCCAGUUACACAGCCAUCGGAAGCUGA